rnacentral:rRNA from 1 species
GACGAACGCUGGCGGCGGGCUUAACACAUGCAAGUCGAGCGGUGCGGCGAACGGGUGAGUAACGCGUGAGUAACUGCCCCCCUUUCUGGGAUAAAAGUUGGAAACGGCUGCUAAUACCGGCAAGUGGGGGAUGACUCGCGGGCUAUCGGCUUGUUGGUGGGGUAGUGACCUACCAAGGCGACGACGGGUAGCCGGCCUGAGAGGGGGACCGGCCUCAUUGGGCUGAGUUACGGCCCAAACGCCUACGGGAGGCAUCAGUGGGGAAUAUUGCACAAUGGUGGAACCCCUGAUGCGGAAACGCCGCGUGCGGGAUGACGGCCUUCGGGUUGUAAACCGCUUUCAGCCAUGACGCGGUAGUGGCAGAAGAAGCACCGGCUAACUACGUGCCAGCAGCCGCGGUAAUAC